GACAGAGGUGCCGAGCGUUAGGCGGAAUCACUGGGCUUAAAGCGUGUGUAGGCGGAUCGUUAAGUGCCUUGUGAAAUCCCACGGCUCAACCGUGGAACUGCUGGGCAUACUGCCGAUCUUGAGCCACUUAGGGGCAACCGGAACAAACGGUGGAGCGGUGAAAUGCGUAGAUAUCCGAAGGAACAUCAGUGGCGAAAGCGGCUUCCUGGACCAGAACUGACGAUCAGGCACGAAAGCGUGGGGAGCAAACAGG
rnacentral:rRNA from 1 species